rnacentral:rRNA from 1 species
GAGUUUGAUCAUGGCUCAGAACGAACGCUGGCGGCAGGCUUAACACAUGCAAGUCGAACGCCCCGCAAGGGGAGUGGCAGACGGGUGAGUAACGCGUGGGAAUCUACCCAGAUCUACGGAACAACAGUUGGAAACGACUGCUAAUACCGUAUACGCCCUACGGGGGAAAGAUUUAUCGGAUUUGGAUGAGCCCGCGUAAGAUUAGCUAGUUGGUGAGGUAAUGGCUCACCAAGGCGACGAUCUUUAGCUGGUCUGAGAGGAUGAUCAGCCACACUGGGACUGAGACACGGCCCAGACUCCUACGGGAGGCAGCAGUGGGGAAUAUUGGACAAUGGGCGCAAGCCUGAUCCAGCCAUGCCGCGUGAGUGAUGAAGGCCUUAGGGUUGUAAAGCUCUUUCAGUGGGGAAGAUAAUGACGGUACCCACAGAAGAAGCCCCGGCUAACUUCGUGCCAGCCGCCGCGUAAUAC